rnacentral:rRNA from 1 species
ACGUAGGGGGCAAACGUUGUCCGGAUUUACUGGGUGUAAAGGGUGCUCAGGCGGUUUUGUAAGUCAGAAGUGAAAUCCUAGAGCUUAACUCUGGAACUGCUUUUGAUACUGCAAAGCUUGAAUGUGGAAGAGGAGGAUGGAAUUUCUGGUGUAGCAGUGAAAUGCGUAGAUAUCAGAAAGAACACCAGUGGCGAAGGCGAUCCUCUGGUCCAUUAUUGACGCUAAAGCACGAAAGCGUGGGGAGCAAACAGGAUUAGAUACCCUGGUAGUCCACGCCUUAAACGAUGAAUACUAGAUGUUGGGGUUAAACUCAGUAUCGCAGCUAACGCAUUAAGUAUUCCACCUGGGGAGUACGAUCGCAAGGUUG